GAUGAAGAACGUAGCGAAAUGCGAUACGUAAUGUGAAUUGCAGAUCUCUCAGUGAACCAUCGAAUUUUUGAACGCACAUUGCGCCCCCUGGUAUUCCGGGGGGCAUGCCUGUCCGAGCGUCAUUACAACCCUCAAGCUCAGCUUGGUGUUGGGCCCCGCCGCCCCGGCGGGCCCUAAAGUCAGUGGCGGUGCCGUCCGGCUCCGAGCGUAGUAAUUCUUCUCGCUCUGGAGGUCCGGUCGUGUGCUCGCCAGCAACCCCCAAUUUUUUUCAGGUUGACCUCGGAUCAGGUAGGGAUACCCGCUGAACUUAAGCAUAUCAAUAAGCGGAGGA
rnacentral:misc_RNA from 1 species